rnacentral:rRNA from 1 species
UACGUAGGGUGCAAGCGUUGUCCGGAAUUAUUGGGCGUAAAGAGCUCGUAGGCGGUCUGUCGCGUCUGCUGUGAAAACUCGGGGCUUAACCCCGGGCCUGCAGUGGGUACGGGCAGACUAGAGUGCGGUAGGGGAGACUGGAAUUCCUGGUGUAGCGGUGAAAUGCGCAGAUAUCAGGAGGAACACCGGUGGCGAAGGCGGGUCUCUGGGCCGAUACUGACGCUGAGGCGCGACAGCGUGGGGAGCAAACAGG